UUAAGCAUAUCAGUAAGCGGAGGAAAAGAAAACAACUGUGAUUCCCCUAGUAACUGCGAGUGAAGCGGGAUAAGCCCAUCGUUUAAUCUUCCUGUACUUAGGACGGGACGACGUGUAACGGUAUGGAUAGGUCUACUUCUAACUAUAACUGGUCAAAGUCCUUCGGAUUGAGGUGCCAAAGAGGGUGAUAGCCCCGUGUAUGACCAGUUGUUGGCUAGGUAUGUAACCAAUUCCGAGAGUAGGGUUGUUUGGGAUUGCAACCUAAAGUAGGUGGUAAACUCCACCCAAGGCUAAAUAUGGACACGAAACCGAUAGCGAACAAGUACUGUGAGGGAAAGUUGAAAAGAACUCUGAAAAGAGAGUUAAAAGUACGUGAAACCGCUAACGGGGAAGCGGAAGGCAGUGUCGAGAUCUGGUAAGUGAGUCAGGACAAGUGUUUACGUUGUGAUAAAUGCUUAUUCUGACUAGCUUUGCCUGAUGCGUCAGACCUACUGGCAGAUAUGAUUACAUGCCCGGGGUGGCUUUUACGACACUUGGAUGCUUUAUAGUAUUUAGGCUAGUUUGAGCACCCGGGUUAUACGUCGUGUUUGCUGGUAUGUAUUGUGAUGAAGCGUUGGUAAUGUAUAUCGGUUGGUGGUGCGUAAUAAUAUACAGUGGUCACAGGGUGGACACUGUGUGGUAUUGUGCAAGUGGUUAGUCAACAGCCAAUGCUAGUGUCUGACGAGAUACCCAACUUUC
rnacentral:rRNA from 1 species